rnacentral:rRNA from 1 species
AACGAACGCUGGCGGCGUGCCUAACACAUGCAAGUCGAGCGAGAAAGCCCGCAAGGGUGAGUACAGCGGCGCACGGGUGCGUAACACGUGGGUAAUCUGCCCUGGAGCCCGGAAUAACCUCCCGAAAGGGAAGCUAAUGCCGGAUGAGCCCACGGGGUCUUCGGACCCUGAGGGAAAAGGUGGCCUCUGCAUGCAAGCUAUCACUUCAGGAUGAGCCCGCGGCCCAUCAGCUCGUUGGCGGGGUAAUGGCCCACCAAGGCUACGACGGGUAGCUGGUGUGGGAGGACGAUCAGCCACACUGGAACUGAGACACGGUCCAGACUCCUACGGGAGGCAGCAGUGGGGAAUCUUGCGCAAUGGGCGAAAGCCUGACGCAGCAACGCCGCGUGUGUGAUGAAGGUCUUCGGAUCGUAAAGCACUGUCGCGAGGGACGAAUAAGGGCCGGGUGAACAAUCCGGUUCGAUGACGGUACCUCGAGAGGAAGCACCGGCUAACUCUGUGCCAGCCGCCGCGGUAAAAC